rnacentral:rRNA from 1 species
AGAGUUUGAUCCUGGCUCAGAUUGAACGCUGGCGGCAUGCCUAACACAUGCAAGUCGAACGGCAGCACAGAGGAGCUUGCUCCUUGGGUGGCGAGUGGCGGACGGGUGAGUAAUGCAUCGGGAUCUACCCUGACGUGGGGGAUAACCUCGGGAAACCGGGACUAAUACCGCAUACGUCCUACGGGAGAAAGCGGGGGACCUUUCAGGCCUCGCGCGGCAGGACGAACCGAUAUGCGAUUAGCUAGUUGGCGGGGUAAUGGCCCACCAAGGCGACGAUCGCUAGCUGGUCUGAGAGGAUGAUCAGCCACACUGGGACUGAGACACGGCCCAGACUCCUACGGGAGGCAGCAGUGGGGAAUAUUGGACAAUGGGCGCAAGCCUGAUCCAACAAUGCCGCGUGUGUGAAGAAGGCCUUCGGCUUGUAAAGCACUUUUAUCAGGAGCGAAAUCUGCAUGCUUAAUACGUGUGCAGUC